AUGCAAAAUUUCCCGACCCCUCUAGAACGACCGCCCCUGCCGAGGAGCCGACCGACGGGCGAAGCGGGAGGGAGGCGAUGGCGGCGGCUUGGGGGCAGAAGGCCCUGGGGGCUCUGCCGCAGCUGGUGAAGUCGCUGCGGAGUGAUCCCGUCUCCGGCAGCGCACGACACAGGCGCCUUCCGUCUCUCAGGAGGACCUUCUCGUUGUACGAUCAGAUCAACCUCAUCGACAGCGUCCCGGAAGACGAGCUCCGAUUCCAGUCGUAUGAUGACACUGGAUUCAAAAUUAACAAUGUAAAAUAUGAAGGCAGUGUAUUGAUUGUAGAGAACAAGAUAAUGACAUGGGCACCCAAAACGUUCUCAGAGAUAACUCCUGAAAGUUUAUCAAUCUUCAAAGUUGUGCACCCUAUCCCAGAGAUCUUUAUUCUUGGUUGCGGAAGACACGUCCAGCUGGUCAGUCCUGAGCUGCGGAUGUUCAUUCGGUCAACUGGAAUGAAACUAGAAGCAGUUGAUUCGAGGAAUGCAGCUUCAACAUAUAAUAUCCUGAACGAGGAGGGCAGGCCGGUGGCAGCUGCAGUUCUUCCCUAUGGAGUCACUUGUUAAUGUUUUAUCUUCUAUACCAGUUGGGCAGGCGUUCUCUCUUUAUAAUCGAUAACCAACUGAGCUUUGUUUCGUUCGUGCUGUUUCUUGGAAGUUCUAUAUCUGUCAUGCAUGUCCAAAGUAGAGUUGUCUAUCUUCCUGCUUUUCUACUUCCUCUAGCAAGCCCAGAUGCACAGACUGUUGGUAUGUUUUGGUUGCCGAGGGUACAAUCAUACAUACAGGCGAAACACUUGCCACUCUGCUACGAACUGGGACGUGCGCCCGCCUGGCGACUGGCGAGGACCACGGAGUCACGGACCCGGCUGUUUUGCCUUCUGUUGAUCGUCCUAAUUUCAGGGCUCAGGCAGGCAGACGCGAUGGGAUCCUACGUGGUAGGAGUACUCGCCAGUUCAGAUCUCGCGGGUUAAUAUUUACUGUCACGUCAUGUUGUAUCACUAUCGACCAUAUACUAUAAAUUAUGUAAUUGAUUUUUGUCAGUGUUUAUCUGUGUUUA